rnacentral:rRNA from 1 species
UGGGGAAUUUUGGACAAUGGGGGAAACCCUGAUCCAGCCAUCCCGCGUGUGCGAUGAAGGCCUUCGGGUUGUAAAGCACUUUUGGCAGGAAAGAAACGUCAUGGGUUAAUACCCCGUGAAACUGACGGUACCUGCAGAAUAAGCACCGGCUAACUACGUGCCAGCAGCCGCGGUAAUACGUAGGGUGCAAGAGUUAAUCGGAAUUACUGGGCGUAAAGCGAGCGCAGGCGGUUCGGAAAGAAAGAUGUGAAAUCCCAAAGCUCAACUUUGAAACUGCAUUUUUAACUACCGGGCUAUAGUGUGUCAGAGGGAGGUGGAAUUCCGCGUGUAGCAGUGAAAUGCGUAGAUAUGCGGAGGAACACCGAUGGCGAAGGCAGCCUCCUGAGAUAACACUGACGCUCAUGCACGAAAGCGUGGGGAGCAAACAGG